rnacentral:rRNA from 1 species
UACGUAGGGUGCGAGCGUUGUCCGGAAUUACUGGGCGUAAAGAGCUCGUAGGUGGUUUGUCGCGUUGUUCGUGAAAACCGGGGGCUUAACCCUGAGCUUGCGGUCGAUACGGGCAUGACUGGAGUUCGGCAGGGGAGACUGGAAUUCCUGGUGUAGCGGUGAAAUGCGCAGAUAUCAGGAGGAACACCGGUGGCGAAGGCGGGUCUCUGGGCCGAUACUGACGCUGAGGAGCGAAAGCGUGGGGAGCAAACAGG